rnacentral:lncRNA from 1 species
AUUAAAAUCCCAAUCAAAUACACCUCCUUAAGAAUUUCACAUGAAAAAAAUUUCUUUCUUAGAACAGCAAGCCCACGACUUCUUCCUAUUCUAUCCUUAAGAACUCGAACUAUUCGAGAUGACCUAAGUCCUCAACAGUUCCAACUAAGACAACUCAUUUUAAAUGGAUAGCUUGCUUUGCAAGUGUCGUCAAAAAAUUGGGGAAGAACCUGUGUUAUUAAGAUGAGAAAACCCAAAUUCAAUGUUCACCAUAUUUGCAUCCUGGACACUAUCGAUAGUGACACCAUUUUCACUUCUCUGUCUUUUCCUCCUCAAGCAUAAGCCCAUUAAGCUCAUCCCCCUCAGGCCCAAUAGGAAUAAUACAAGAUAAAUUUCUUUACUAAGAAUUUGAAUUGUUUCAUACUGUAAAAAAUUGUACCACGUGUACUACAUGAUCACCUAUAUUAUCGCCAUCAUUAACAAUCAAAUCUCCUUAUUGCAUUUUUUCUUGGAACAAUUUACCCAAGAUUUGGUCAUUUACUCCGCCCUUACCAUCUUUGUUCCUCCACUAGCCGUCGUUCUCCUCCCUCAACCACUUGCUCUUUCCACUUGCACCCCCUGUGCGGUGGAGCACGAAGCCAGCUUCCCCACUCCCUGUCCUUGGAAAUAGAGGCAUCAUCACCUUCAAAUUUCUUCUGACUUAAAAAGACGUACUUAUUAUGAUGAAAGUUAAUUUGAGACAAAUCAAGAGUAUUCAUUAAAAGAUACCACAUGAUUAAUGUCAAUUUAAAUUUAAAAAUAAACUACUACCUAAAAAUUAGUCAAUCACCACAAAUAAUUGAUUCAAAAAGGUGACUAAUGUUGCCAUCGUCACAACACUGUUAAUCACCGCUAAACCACCAAUACCAUCGUUCUACCGGUCUUAAUUAAUAAGAGAUUAGAUCGUGGCUCUAAAUCAAAACAACACUUACAAAGAUCAAAACGUAUAGAAUAAUACUAGAUGAAUCAGAGCCGCAUUCUAAUUCACA